GGUAAGCUUCGUACGUGACCUGCGGAGGACAUUAUCGAAUUAUAGGCGAGGGUUGUAGCUGGCCUCUCGAGGCACGUGCACGCCCGAGCCCUUGAAUCCCACGACACACCUGUGAACCCACCGUAGGCCUUCGGGCUUAUGCAUCGUUAAUAUUACGCCGUAUGUGACAUAGAAUGUUAGAGACGAAUGGGAAAAAAAUGAUAAUACAACUUUCAACAACGGAUCUCUUGGCUCUCGCAUCGAUGAAGAACGCAGCGAAAUGCGAUAAGUAAUGUGAAUUGCAGAUUUUCAGUGAAUCAUCGAAUCUUUGAACGCACCUUGCGCCCCUUGGUAUUCCGAGGGGCAUGCCUGUUUGAGUGUCAUUAAAUCCUCAACCCCUCAGGGGGCUUGGACUUUGGAGCGUGCUGGCGGUGAUCGUCGGCUCCUCUUUAAAUGCAUCAGCGGAACCCUCGUUCCCCGUUUCGGCGUGAUAGAUUUAUGUUGCGCCGCGUAGGGGGGGCGGUCAAGUGGUUUUUCCGCUUCCAAUCGUCCUCGGACAAAAAAUGUCGUUGACAACUUUGACCUCAAAUCAGGUGGGACUACCCGCUGAACUUAUGCAUAUCACUAAGCGGGAGGGAGAA
rnacentral:rRNA from 1 species